AGAGUUUGAUCCUGGCUCAGAUUGAACGCUGGCGGCAGGCCUAACACAUGCAAGUCGAGCGGAUGACGGGAGCUUGCUCCUUGAUUCAGCGGCGGACGGGUGAGUAAUGCCUAGGAAUCUGCCUGGUAGUGGGGGACAACGUUUCGAAAGGAACGCUAAUACCGCAUACGUCCUACGGGAGAAAGCAGGGGACCUUCGGGCCUUGCGCUAUCAGAUGAGCCUAGGUCGGAUUAGCUAGUUGGUGGGGUAAUGGCUCACCAAGGCGACGAUCCGUAACUGGUCUGAGAGGAUGAUCAGUCACACUGGAACUGAGACACGGUCCAGACUCCUACGGGAGGCAGCAGUGGGGAAUAUUGGACAAUGGGCGAAAGCCUGAUCCAGCCAUGCCGCGUGUGUGAAGAAGGUCUUCGGAUUGUAAAGCACUUUAAGUUGGGAGGAAGGGCAGUAAGUUAAUACCUUGCUGUUUUGACGUUACCGAC
rnacentral:rRNA from 1 species